AGUUAUUCUUUUCCUCCAUGCUCCAUCCAUGUUGGAGUGCCAGAAACGAAACUCCCUUUAUGGAGAGCCUUCCCUUACUUUAGCGCGGAGACAUCCAAGUACACAUCCACGCGCAAAAUGACGCUGAUGCACACACUCUAUAGUCUAUGCUCUAUGCAUACAGAUAUAUCCUAACCAUAACAGCCGUCUCCUACACUAGCUAAGGUUACGGGAAUACCCACAACAAUGCUUUCCCCGUCACAAAUAUUGUACUGCGCUCAUGAGGUUUUGGAAUUUCCGUUUCAGGGCUGAGUAGCGCAUGGCUCGGGUAUAAAAGGUGGUCAGAGCCUCUGACACACCAGAAACAGCUCCUCCAUCGAGACAGCUGAACGUUCCCUUGCCCAAUACCAUGAAAGCACUGAACCUCCUGCUGGUGGUGGCCUUGGCCCUGACUGCGCUGGUGGUGGUGGAGGCCAUGCCUGGCCCCUUCCCCGACGCUGACCCCGAGGCCCUCGCCGACCCUGCCCCUUGGGGUGGAUACAGACGCUUUGGUGGCUUUGGGUUUGGCCGUGGCUUUGGAGGAGGAUAUGGAUAUGGGGGCUACUGGCGUUGAUUACCGCGGAAUAUACUGGCGAGGGAAGCAGGUGAGCUAAGAUAACCGCGGUGCCACUCACGCCACAACUCGGCUGUUUUCCCCUCGUGCCAGUCAAGUGCAGCGAGAGGCAGACUACCAUCACUGCCUCUGGUACGCUGCUAACAUCCUCGCCACCUCUGACUUCGCCGAUCUUUGACAUCUUCCCAAUAUUUGAAGAAAACUUGUCCUCUUCAGUGACUAACAUACAUAUACACUAAAUAUCAUUUUAUCGUAACUGGUUCAAAAUAAAAUGCACUCACUAGAU